rnacentral:rRNA from 1 species
UAUCUCCUACGGGACGCAGCAGUGGGGGAUAUUGCACAAUGGGGGAAACCCUGAUGCAGCGACGCCGCGUGGGCGAAGAAGUAUUUCGGUAUGUAAAGCCCUAUCAGCAGGGAAGAAGAAAUGACGGUACCUGAGUAAGAAGCACCGGCUAAAUACGUGCUAGCAGCCGCGGUAAUACGUAUGGUGCAAGCGUUAUCCGGAUUUACUGGGUGUAAAGGGAGCGCAGGCGGCGCGGCAAGCCUGAUGUGAAAGCCCGCGGCCCAACCGCGGGACUGCCUUGGGAACUACCGGGCUGGAGUGCCGGG